rnacentral:rRNA from 1 species
GACGAACGCUGGCGGCGUGCUUAACACAUGCAAGUCGAACGAAGAGCGAUGGAAGCUUGCUUCUAUCAAUCUUAGUGGCGAACGGGUGAGUAACGCGUAAUCAACCUGCCCUUCAGAGGGGGACAACAGUUGGAAACGACUGCCAAUACCGCAUACGAUCUAAUCUCGGCAUCGAGGAUAGAUGAAAGGUGGCCUCUACAUGUAAGCUAUCACUGAAGGAGGGGAUUGCGUCUGAUUAGCUAGUUGGAGGGGUAACGGCCCACCAAGGCGAUGAUCAGUAGCCGGUCUGAGAGGAUGAACGGCCACAUUGGGACUGAGACACGGCCCAGACUCCUACGGGAGGCAGCAGUGGGGAAUCUUCCGCAAUGGACGAAAGUCUGACGGAGCAACGCCGCGUGAGCGAUGACGGCCUUCGGGUUGUAAAGCUCUGUUAAUCGGGACGAAAGGCCUCCUUGCGAAUAGUGAGAAGGAUUGACGGUACCGGAAUAGAAAGCCACGGCUAACUACGUG